rnacentral:lncRNA from 1 species
CCCAGUUUGUGGACCCAGAGCAGCUGCAAACGACUCUGGGCGGGACCCUGCAGCACUCGCAGACCCAGUGGGUAAAGAUGUGCCAGGCGCUGGAGCGGCUCUGCGGGCUCUGCCAGGGUGUGAUCCAGUCGGUGCAAGUGGCCAGUGCUGAGUUGGAGGCAUUGGAAUUGGCCGAGAGUGACGAGGCGCUUUCUGUGCAGAUCUCUGGGCACAAGGAUGCCAUGCAGAAGCUGCUGUCAGACCCAUGGCUGCUGGAGUUGCAGAGCAGCGGGGGGUCCCUGCUGGCUCGACUUCCCCCACCAGGAACCUGCAGGUGACCCCUG